AGAGUUUGAUCAUGGCUCAGAACGAACGCUGGCGGCGUGCUUAACACAUGCAAGUCGCGUGCGCAGUUCCGUAGCAAUACGGGGCAGGCGCACGGCGCACGGGUGCGUAACACGUGGGCAAUCUGCCCUCCGAUGGGGAAUAACCCCGCGAAAGCGGGGCUAAUACCGCAUAACAUUCCUUGAGCGACGGUUCGAGGAUUCAAAGCAGUAAUGCGUCGGAGGAGGAGCCCGCGCCCGAUUAGCUAGUUGGUGAGGUAACGGCUCACCAAGGCAAUGAUCGGUAGCUGGUCUGAGAGGAUGAUCAGCCACACUGGAACUGAGACACGGUCCAGACUCCUACGGGAGGCAGCAGUGGGGAAUCUUGCACAAUGGGCGAAAGCCUGAUGCAGCGACGCCGCGUGGGGGAUGAAGCUUUUCGGAGUGUAAACCCCUUUCGCCUGGGACGAAUGCCCGCAAGGGAGUGACGGUACCAGGAUAAGAAGCCCCGGCUAACUACGUGCCAGCAGCCGCGGUAAGACGUAGGGGGCCAGCGUUGUUCGGAAUUACUGGGUGUAAAGGGUUCGUAGGCGGUGUGGCAAGUUGGGAGUGAAAUCUCUGGGCUCAACCCAGAGGCUGCUUCCAAAACUGCUGUGCUUGAGUGUGAGAGAGGCUCGUGGAAUUGCAGGUGUAGCGGUGAAAUGCGUAGAU
rnacentral:rRNA from 1 species